CACGUAGGCGGUCUCUUAAGUCGGAUGUGAAAGCCCUCGGCUUAACCGAGGAAGUGCAUCCGAAACUGAUUGACUAGAAUCUCAAAGAGGGUCGCGGAAUUCCCGGUGUAGAGGUGAAAUUCGUAGAUAUCGGGAGGAACACCAGUGGCGAAGGCGGCGACCUGGGUGAUGAUUGACGCUGAGGUGCGAAAGCGUGGGGAGCAAACA
rnacentral:rRNA from 1 species